CGGGACGUGGCGCAGCCUGGUAGCGCACCUGCUUUGGGAGCAGGGGGUCGCCGGUUCGAAUCCGGCCGUCCCGA
rnacentral:tRNA from 1 species